rnacentral:lncRNA from 1 species
UUAUUUUUUAUUUUUUUGUGGAAUACAAUGUUAUAAAUUGACUUAACGUGAACCUUAUACAGCCGAAACUACUCAUUUUGUUAAACACAUCAACAAUAUUUCUAAUCACCUUCUACAAAAUGAAACUUACUGAUAUCCUUUUCUAUUGCCUCACUAAACGCUUUGGCUAAUUGGGAUAAUUCAUUAUCUCCGGAUACUUGGACACUUUAUGACCGUGCUCCAGUAUUAGGUGACUUCACCUUGAAUGUAUCUGCAAUAGGACCGAAUAAUACUAUAGUCGAUAGUAUAUACCUGCCAACCGAAUUGAAUGUGACACAAUGGAUGCAAGAACAUGCAGCUGAACAUUACACCUAGUCAACUAGUAGUAAUACCUCAAAUGCGAUCUCGUGGUGGGUAUAUCGUUUGAUUUGGGAAUAAAGUGGAUGAAAUGGAGUUUUGUGAUAUUUGAAAGUCAACUUGAACUCGAUUUAUUGUUUUUGAUUUCCCGUUUAGUAUAAUAAUAAGUUUACAUGUAGGAAGCUUUGCAUGUAUUUUAUUGAUUUCAACCGCAUAAAAUUAUUGGGAAAAUGGCGAGGUAAAUUGAAUAGCAUUUAUUCAACAACUAUUAAAAAUAUGUUUUUGAAAGUCAAAAGUUUUUCUUAUAGUUUAGUAAAAGAUGAAUUAGUAGCUAAUAUGUUAGAUGUUUAAGUUUCAAU